AGUUUGAAGGACAAAGGCCUAACCAGUACACAUUAAAGAGUCCAACCAUACAACUUCUGCGCCCUUGAAGUUUUAUCUGCAACGCAGGGGCUUCUUCCUCCUAUGACGAUUUUGGCGGCCAAGACUUUCUAGGCAGACAUUAUCAAGGGUGGGGAGUCGGUUUCCAGUAGUCCCACACACCGGCGACACCUGCAAUAAUUGGAACAAGCGAUGGCAACUGUUCAACGCAUCCUAUAUCUAUUAAUGCUUGAUUUUACAGUGGAAGGAUGCUGCAACUCCAGUCGCCAAAGGUCAAAGGGGCUUGACGUUGAUUAAACUGACGGGUUUGACGAAGAUUGUAGGCGAAAGUAAGGGUCGCCGGAGUUGACAG
rnacentral:lncRNA from 1 species